rnacentral:lncRNA from 1 species
GAGGUUUUCUCAGUAUUUUCUAUCGCGACCCGUUUUGCUCCGGUAUCGUGCUGACACCACCUUUUUCACCCUUGCCAUCGUCGUUGCGCUGUUGUCGGUUACCUUCAGUACUAAGCAGGGUCUUUAUUUGUCCGAUCAAUUGAUUAGUAUUCAGGACCGAUUAUUAUUUUUAUUCUCGUUCUGUGCUAGUCAGCUAUACAUGCGCCAGAGUUUCAUAAGAAUUAAUAGAACCGUGAAUUCGUAUCUGCGUAUCUAUCCAAUCUUUGAGAAUAUUUUUACGUACUAUUUAUGUCUCAUCAGUUGUUUAUUUGUUC